AAUACAGAAUGUACAGUUAAAACUGAAUUUCAGAGAAACAACAAAUUUAUUUUAGUAUAUGUGUAUCUCUAAAUAUUUGGGCCAUACUUAUUCUAAAAAUGUAUUUCUUGUUCCUCUGAAAUGCAAAUUUAACUGGGCUUCCUGUAUUCU
rnacentral:miRNA from 1 species